GGCCGGGCUGGGCGGUCUUGCCGAAAGGUAAGCACUGCCCUGGUCGGGCCUUUCCUUCUGGGGAACCUGCGUGCUCUUAAUUGAGUGCGCAGGGGAUCCAGGACUUUUACUUUGAAAAAAUUAGAGUGUUUAAAGCGGGCAUUUUUGCUUGAAUACAUUAGCAUGGAAUAAUAAAAUAGG
rnacentral:rRNA from 1 species